AGUUGUUGGUCCAUUCUCCAAUUUCAGCCACCACUGCUACAUCCAUCAAAAAGGAUGUGAGGAAGAGUUAUGCUAAUACGUAUGUGUAAGGGAUAUAGGAGAAUUGUUGUGGCUAAAAUUUGGUUUUAGAUGUUUUCCUGACGUAAGCCCAGUGCAGACUUCUUCUCAAACUUAGAGUAUAUGGGUAUAGGCAACAAGCAUUUGAAAUGGAUCAGUUGUGACAUUAGGCCACAAGUUUCAAUUGCCUCAAUAUGAGGAUGCUGAGGUAAGCCUAUUUUUUUGCUGUAGAUAGAAUUGUUGUAAGGUCUGGAAGCUAGGAUUUUGCCUACUGCCAAAACUAUGUUUGAAAUUCCAUCUUGUAAUUUUUCUUCAUUCCUUUUCAGAUCACUGCUUGUUAUUCUUGAUACUGGCUUGGAAAAGGAGAUACGUUCCUAUAUAAUCGUGGACACACCAGUUUCCAAACAUCACCAGGGCAAUCUUUCUUGCUGCCAUGCUCUGUGCAGUUUUGCAACUGCUUCUCUUGUAGCAAAGGUGCAGGAGUUUCAGCAGGAGCUUCUCUUUGAAAAGGCUGCAGAAGAGGAGUCAACAUCUUGGGAUAUUUACUGAGUUCAGCUAUCUCAAGCCAGUAAAUUCUCCUGAAAAAAGAAGGAUGUUCAUCUCCUGCUUGUCUAUAUCUCUGUGACUGAGGUCUCAUAAACUAAAGGCUUCAGGCAGUUGUUCAUUUUCAAAAGGAAGGUGAACACCCAUGAGCUAGCUUCUUUAAUUUAGAUUGAUUUUGGUCUAAACUGUGAUGUUUGUAAGCAUGAUUACCAUUUAAGACUGCUGUCAUUUAGCCAGCAAACAAUGCACAUAACAACCACUUUGUACUUGUCAAAAACAACAUUCUGCUUUGGUUUGUUUGCUUUUUCCUCUUAAAUGUAAUGUUGUUUAAAAUAAAAGCUGUGCAUAUGGUAGUGAUAUAAUAAAU
rnacentral:lncRNA from 1 species